CCAUAGCUCAGAUGGGAGAGCACCUGCUUUGCAAGCAGGGGGUCGGCGGUUCGAUCCCGCCUGGCCCCACCAG
rnacentral:tRNA from 1 species